rnacentral:lncRNA from 1 species
UAGCAAUGAAUAUAUGUAAACCUUUAAAAAUGAAUUAAUGUUUUUGAUAUAGCAUGUUUAAUUCAAGCUAGUCUGUGUUCAAUUAUUGGAAGCAGGGAGUGAACGCUCUAAGAAAUAAAAUAACCUAGGGUGAAACACCUUAUUUUAUGAAAAACUAAUUUUUAGGAGCAUUUUCUUUUAUACUAUGUAAAAAAAUCCCUGAAAGAUGAACAGACUUUGACAGCUGUUAUAGGUGAGAGCCUCAAGUAAAGAUAAAAUUAAAUGUUUUCCUUAAAUGCUAUUGCCCAAAUAAUGAAUAUCCAUAAUUGAAAACUGAGAUUACCUUAUACUUUGCUUUGUUCUCUCUGCCAGAGUCCUACCCACUGUAUUAGUUGUUAGAGUUGUGGAACUUAACCGAAGCUUUCUCUGGAUUCCAGUUAGAGACCAAACUUUUGAAAAUUGACUAGAGAAAUGCUGCUGUUGAGUUUACUUUCUUCUGAAAGAAUAUCUUUUCCUGUAAUGGGAGGUACAAUAUUUCUGUACAGAGCUACUUCACUCCCACAAGUCAUAGGUCAUCAAGAAGAGCAUCUACAUCCCCAAAUGUUUCAGAGUGUAAGUCAAAAACUCUUACAAUUCCACUUCUUUUCAUGUGUCUCGUAGAUGUUUUAAGAAUAUUUUCAGCUGCAUGGCUUGACAGCCUUGGGAUUCCCUCACACAUUCACAGUCUUUUUUGGAUCAGUCUGAUGUGAGCAUGAAAACUGGGAGUUGUGGAGCCCACUUAGGAAAUGAUUGCAAUUGUCCAGGAGACAGAUGAUGGUAAUUAAGUUUCCAUCAGCCUGGAACUCAGGACAGAAGAUACAUAUUCUGUAUGUAGAGAAUCACUGGAGGUCAAAUGUCUUUGCCAAUUUGAGUUUUUCCACUUGAACAAGAAAAGACUGUCAAGGGAAAGCCAAUCAAUUUCACAAUGUUUAGGUAAGUAUAAAUGUAAUAAAGAAUAUUACAUUUGAAUGGAUUUAGUAAUUAAAAAGCAUAAUGGAAAAUGGAAAGUAAAAACUGCUGUACAGAAAAGCCAUCUUAUUACUUAGUGUAAUUAUUUAUGAAUAAAUUUUGCAUCUCAAAAGACAUGAAAAUUUUUACUUCGAAAGAAAACUACAAAACAAAGAAAUGGAAAUUUAUUUGAUAAUUUCAAUAGCUUUUCAGUUCCCAGAAAAAUAGAGACUCAAUCCAGUCUCUUUACUUUUUAAGACUGGAUUGUUAAUUUGGGGUAGCUACUAUUCUCAGUAAAUAUACAUAAGUUCAAGAAAAUCUAAAAAUAAUUUUAUUUCAGAUGCUGAAGAUACAGGGCACAGCUUCCUUCUUGAAUUGCUUGUUGUUUACCUAGUUGACAAUCUACUGGGAAAAAGAAAUUCCUUUUCCAGAAAAGGUUUUCACCAAUUUCAAGGAAUCCUUUAAUGAAAAGAUAAUCCAGUUACUUAGGACAAAAUGUAUUUGUUGAUUGGAUUAAUAUAUGUUGAGAAUAGACUAUAUGCUA